GAUGAACGCUGGCGGCGUGCCUAAUACAUGCAAGUCGAGCGAACAGACGAGGAGCUUGCUCCUCUGACGUUAGCGGCGGACGGGUGAGUAACACGUGGAUAACCUACCUAUAAGACUGGGAUAACUUCGGGAAACCGGAGCUAAUACCGGAUAAUAUAUUGAACCGCAUGGUUCAAUAGUGAAAGACGGUUUUGCUGUCACUUAUAGAUGGAUCCGCGCCGCAUUAGCUAGUUGGUAAGGUAACGGCUUACCAAGGCAACGAUGCGUAGCCGACCGGAGAGGGUGAUCGGCCACACUGGAACUGAGACACGGUCCAGACGCCUACGGGAGGCAGCAGUAGGGAAUCUGCCGCAAUGGGCGAAAGCCUGACGGAGCAACGCCGCGUGAGUGAUGAAGGUCUUCGGAUCGUAAAACUCUGUUAUUAGGGAAGAACAAAUGUGUAAGUAACUAUGCACGUCUUGACGGUACCUAAUCAGAAAGCCACGGCUAACUACGUG
rnacentral:rRNA from 1 species